GCGAUCAUACCAGCACUAAUGCACCGGAUCCCAUCAGAACUCCGAAGUUAAGCGUGCUUGGGCGAGAGUGGUACUAGGAUGGGUGACCUCCUGGGAAGUCCUCGUGUUGCACCCC
rnacentral:rRNA from 1 species